GAGAAUCUGCGAUGGGAAGUGCUUCUUCCAUCGCCGAUGAACUAGGAGGAGAGGGGAAAUCAAUUCGAAAGUUCGGCCGAGAAAUCGUUUCAUCCGCCAUUGGUUCUCUGGAUUGGCGGUAUGAUUGUUGCUCGUCUACAU